rnacentral:lncRNA from 1 species
GGCGGGUUGAUUUUCUCACUUUGGACUGGUUUUUACUUCCAGACUUCUGGACUCAUCUUUCAAGAGGACUUUAGACUAAUUGCAGAUAAUUAAGAGAAUAUGCCUUCUGCAUCCUGUGAUACACUACUGGAUGACAUCGAAGAUAUCGUGUCUCAGGAAGAUUCAAAACCACAAGAUAGGCAUUUUGUAAGAAAGGAUGUUGUCCCGAAGGUACGAAGGCGAAAUACCCAAAAAUAUUUGCAAGAGGAAGAAAACAGUCCACCAAGUGACAGCACUAUUCCAGGCAUACAGAAAAUUUGGAUACGAACAUGGGGUUGUUCUCAUAAUAAUUCAGAUGGAGAAUAUAUGGCUGGACAGCUAGCUGCUUAUGGCUAUAAAAUUACAGAAAAUGCAUCCGAUGCAGAUUUAUGGCUCCUGAACAGUUGCACUGUAAAAAACCCAGCUGAAGACCACUUUAGAAACUCAAUUAA